CUGGCAGUGGCAGGCGGCACAGGCUCCCGAGAAGGGCAGUGUGGAGAGUGACCUGUGCUCGCACACAGGCUUCUUGGUGGCGGCAGCAGCAGCCUUAACAUCUCACGCCUGUCUCUGGGGUCCGCGCUGAUAGCCGCAGUUCAUGCCCGUCUCUGGAGCUCUUUAAGCGGCGCUGUUAAUCCCCUCUCCUCGCUCACCAGGAAACAAAGAGGUACGUGGGGAGUUUCUUGCCUUUUGGGAGGUCUGACGUCUUCUGCCAGCGUUCAGUAGGUGUUCUGCAGGAGUUGUUCCACAUGUAGAUGUAUUUCUGAUGUAUUUGUGGGGAGGAAGGUGAUCUCUGUGUCUUACUCUUCCGCCAUCUUGAAGCUCCUCCAAGAGCACUUUUAACGUGGAAAACUACUGAGAAUUCCACAUCUCCUUUUUCUAUAAUAUGAAUAUACAGAUUCCCAAAGACACCUAGAAAAUGCAUCAGAAGAAAAACAGGACAAGGAGAAGAAAGGAGAUAGAAGAAAGAGGAGAGCAAAUUCUGAAGGCUUCCAAUUGCUAAGGAUCAAUCCAUGUGCCUCCUAAAACCCUCCAUGGUGACUGCUUAGACGUUUACAAGCUGAUCUUAAAAUUCAUAUAGAAAUGCAAGAGACCUAGAAGAGUCAAAACAAUCUUGAAAAAGACCAAAGUUUAAGGACUCAUGCUUUCCAAUUUCAAAACUUAUUGCGGUACUGGCAUACAUACAGAUAGAUGUAUAGUUCAAUGGAAUAAAAUUGAGUUUAGAAAUAAAUCCAUGCAUAUUUGUUUGAUUGAUUUUUGACAGAGGUACUAAGACAAUUCAAUAGGGGGGAAGAAUAGUGUUUUCAACAAAUGGUGUGGAACAACUAGAUAGCCACAUGAAAAAGAAUAAAGUUGAACACACACUUCACACCAUAUACACAAAAUUAACUCAAAAUGGAUCAUAGACCUAAAUAUAAGGGCAAAGACUAUAAGACUCACAGAAGAAACCUAAAAGUAAGACUUUGUAACCUUGGGUUGGACAUGGCACCCAAAGCACAAAUGAAGAAAAAAAAAAUUGAAUUAAAUAAAUAGUGGCUCUGUAAAUGAUACCAUCAAGAAAGUGAAAAGACAAUUCACAGAAU